GACGUAGGGCGCGAGCGUUGUCCGGAUUUAUUGGGCGUAAAGAGCUCGUAGGCGGUUUGUUGCGUCGGCUGUGAAAUCCCGAGGCUCAACCUCGGGUCUGCAGUCGAUACGAGCAAACUAGAGUGUUGCAGGGGAGACUGGAAUUCCUGGUGUAGCGGUGAAAUGCGCAGAUAUCAGGAGGAACACCGGUGCGAAGGCGGGUCUCUGGGCAACAACUGACGCUGAGGAGCGAAAGCGUGGGGAGCGAACAGG
rnacentral:rRNA from 1 species